UUGGACACACAUUCAACCUCCUCUCCACGCUUCUUUCUCAUUUCCACAGAUCUAUCUCUCACCUAUCUUCUUCUCUUUCUUUCAUCACCACCACCACCACCACCACCACCACCCUCCCAUCCGCCAUAGCUCCCAUCCGCUAUCUCACCACCAUCAUCAGUUCUCAGAUCCGACGCCACCACCACCGCCGUCUCGUCAUAAUCACCACUCAGCUCUCUGAUUUCGUUCUCUCUAAUUUGAGAAAGAAGCACGAGGCGCUCACCAGUGGCAGUGCUUUUACCAAAUCUAAAAUUUGAAAUGGCAGGUCUGGUGUUUGGGCUAUUAAAUCUGCUGGAGUUAAAGUGAUAGAGAACAGACUACCAAUUGAUUCUUGCCGUAUUAGAGGUCCAGUUAUCAAAGGAUUUGGCCGUGGCUCUAAAUGACUCGGAAUCCCACAGUGAUGGAUUUUUAAGCGAGAAGGGAUAACCAAAUUUCACUAGGUUAUGAAGAUGUGGUGUGGAGAUGGCAGAGGAAGCUAGGGGUGGUGGUAGAGUUGGAGCCGAGCAAGAACAAAAAGAGAAAGGUAUUCGUGAGCAGUCAUGACAGAUGAUAAGCUUGAUGGUGGUGGAAUAGCAGAGACAAUGGUGAGGUUUCAUGGUGGCUGUUCAAAGACGAUGUGGUAGAAGAAGAAGAAAUCAGAUGGCGAAGAGUUUAGAUGUAGGGCUAAUUUUUUUUUAGGUUAGGCCUUUUAUGUUUAGAUUAGUAACCCGGGUCUGGUUUACUUAAUUUUUUCAUGUUGGUUUAGUAUUGUAAAACUGAUUUUGUU